rnacentral:lncRNA from 1 species
AUCGCCGCCGCCCAAGCCUUAGUGCUUCAGACCUUCCGCCCAAGUCUGCAACUUCUUGACCCCAAGCUUCACCUAUAAACCGGAGGUAAGCUGCCAACCCCUUUCCGGUUCGCCCGACCCCUUUCUGGUUCGCCCGACCCCUUUCUGGUUCGCCCGACCCUGUCUAUUCCGCCGACCCUUUUUCCGCCUCGCCCGAGGGCUCAGCUGUAUCUGUUUCCUUGACCGAGGGUAUCUGUGUAAAAGAUCGGGAUUUCUCUGCGUCAAGUCCGAGGACCCCGGACACAGUUAUUCCUUAAAGUUUAAGGGUCAGAUCACAAGUCUAUUCCCAUCCGACCCUUUUAUCUUGCCCUCCACCAACUAAAGCAAACUCCCCCACCUUUUCUAUAACCUUGCUACAAGUGUCCGAGCUUAAACCGCAAGUGUUGUUGAAAUAACCACCUCAACACUAACCCCUGC